UGCUCAGGACGAACGCUGGCGGCGUGCCUAAUACAUGCAAGUUGAGCGCUGAAGGUUGGUACUUGUACCGACUGGAUGAGCAGCGAACGGGUGAGUAACGCGUGGGGAAUCUGCCUUUGAGCGGGGGACAACAUUUGGAAACGAAUGCUAAUACCGCAUAAAAACUUUAAACACAAGUUUUAAGUUUGAAAGAUGCAAUUGCAUCACUCAAAGAUGAUCCCGCGUUGUAUUAGCUAGUUGGUGAGGUAAAGGCUCACCAAGGCGAUGAUACAUAGCCGACCUGAGAGGGUGAUCGGCCACAUUGNGACUGAGACACG
rnacentral:rRNA from 1 species